UCCAGACUCCUACGGGAGGCAGCAGUGGGGGAUAUUGCACAAUGGGGGGAACCCUGAUGCAGCGACGCCGCGUGGGUGAAGGAGCGUUUCGGCGCGUAAAGCCCUAUCGGCAGGGAAGAAGGAGGACGGUACCUGACUAAGAAGCCCCGGCUAACUACGUGCCAGCAGCCGCGGUAAUACGUAGGGGGCAAGCGUUAUCCGGAUUUACUGGGUGUAAAGGGGGCGCAGACGGCAGCGCAAGCCAGGAGUGAAAGCCCGGGGCCCAACCCCGGGACUGCUCUUGGAACUGCGCGGCUGGAGUGCAGGAGGGGCAGGCGGAAUUCCUGGUGUAGCGGUGAAAUGCGUAGAUAUCAGGAGGAACACCGGUGGCGAAGGCGGCCUGCUGGACUGCGACUGACGUUGAGGCUCGAAAGCGUGGGGAGCAAACAGGAUUAGAUACCCCAGUA
rnacentral:rRNA from 1 species